GAUGAACGCUGGCGGCGUGCCUAAUACAUGCAAGUCGAGCGAACGGACGCGAAGCUUGCUUCUUUGAUGUUAGCGGCGGGCGGGAGAGAAACGCGUGGAUCACCUACCUAUCAGACUGGGAUCACCUCGGGAAACCGGCGAUAAUCCCGGAUAAUAUUUUGCACCGCAUGGGGCAAAAGUGAAAGACGGUCUUGCGGUAAGUUAUCGAUGGAUACGCGCUGCAUUAGCUGGUAGGUAAGGUAAAGGCUUACCAAGGCAACGAUGCAUGGGCGACCUGAGAGGGUGAUCGCCCACCCGAGAGCUUAGACACGGUCCAUACUCCUACGGGAGGCAGCAGUAGGGAAUCGGCCGCAGUGGGCGAAAGCCUUGCGGAGCGACGCCGCGUGUGAUAUGAAGGUCUUCGGUGCGUAAUACUCUGUUAUUAGGUAAGAACAUAUUUGUAAGUAACUGAGCACAUCUUGACGGUACCUAAUCAGAAAGCCACGGCUAACUACGUG
rnacentral:rRNA from 1 species